UACGGGGGGAGCAAGCGUUGUUCGGAUUUACUGGGCGUAAAGGGCGCGUAGGCGGUCAGCACAAGUCGGUUGUGAAAUCUCCGGGCUUAACUCGGAAAGGUCAACUGAUACUGUGCGACUAGAGUGCGGAAGGGGCAACUGGAAUUCUUGGUGUAGCGGUGAAAUGCGUAGAUAUCAAGAGGAACACCUGCGGCGAAGGCGGGUUGCUGGGCCGACACUGACGCUGAGGCGCGAAAGCCAGGGGAGCGAACGGG
rnacentral:rRNA from 1 species